rnacentral:rRNA from 1 species
UACGUAGGGUGCGAGCGUUAAUCGGAAUUACUGGGCGUAAAGCGUGCGCAGGCGGUUCGUUGUGUCGGCGGUGAAAGCCCCGGGCUUAACCUGGGAACCGCGCUUGAGACUGGAGAACUAGAGUUCGGGAGAGGAUGGUGGAAUUCCCAGUGUAGAGGUGAAAUUCGUAGAUAUUGGGAAGAACACCGAUGGCGAAGGCAGCCAUCUGGACCGACACUGACGCUGAGGCGCGAAAGCGUGGGGAGCAAACAGG